rnacentral:lncRNA from 1 species
AUGUGAAUGACAUGCUUAUAGUAUACAAGAAGAAAUCAAAUAUCAAUGAAUUCAAGAAUGAAUUGAGUAAGUGUAAGGACUGAGAUUUUGGCUGUGUAGCUAAACUCCUUGUUGACGAUAUUUUUAUGUGUAAUUUAAUUACAUAAGCACUCGUCAAGUUUCAGGAGAAAACGAGUUAGGAUGGAGAAGUUACGCGAUAAUUACUAAUUACUUAAAGUGAAUAGUAACUCCGGCUUUCCGGAGAGGCCGAUUAGUGGAGAUGGCAUUGGUGUGUAUCGGAUUCCGUUCAUAGCACUUCAAUAGCUUGUUUUUGAUAGUUCAACUAUCCUGGACCCAAUGGCACUUACGGAUUUCAGAUCUGACGCACGAUUUCGAGAAAACUGGAGAUACAUAUAAUUUAUGUAUGUGUGUGUGAUUUUGCUAGUUGGAGAGAGGAUAGGUUACGUCACAAAUCGGCGACCAUUCCAGGCAAAACAAAAUCAUGAAUUUGAUACCCCAGUCGUGCUGAACGCGUUGGCGUAAUCCGUUCAGAUAUCCGAUGGACGAAUCGCCGGAUAUUGCAUGAUGAUCGGGAAGGGGUCGAAGGUGACAAAUCGGAAACGUCGCAAAAGUCAUAAUUUUAUGUACCGAAUCAUGCGAGAUCAGACAUGAGGGUACGUUCGCGCAAAAUACACGCACUGUGAAGGUCUCAGUUUGAAAUUCUAAGUCUUCGAGGACUUUUGUGCAAUUUUGCAAUUGGUAUAUAAGUUGUCAUCUAGGGUUUUCUUAGCCGAACCCUAACCCUAACCCCCAGCUCACCCCUUAGCCGCCUUACCACCCUCCCCUACCCUCGCCGCGCGCACACCGGCCGCAGCGCAUGUCUCCGGCCGCCGAAAAAUUGCUAACUUUUCUCCCUCUCUCCCCUACAUUGUCGUUUGUGGCCACCAUCUUUGUCGAAGGCUUGUAGGGUGCACCCCCUUCCCUCGGGCCCCUCUCUUGCAGUACCUCGGACUUCCAUCGACCCGCCGUGCAGGCCGUCGCAGUCCCUAUAGGCCGCCGCCGCCAUCUCUAGCUCCCUGUUACCGAGCUGGGUUAGCUCGGGCCGAGCCCAAGCUAAACUUUAGCCCGCGUGCUGCCGCCGCCUGGAACCAGCCUUGCCACCCUUCGUCGACGUCCGGUGACUCCGCCUGUCUGUCACCGUCAUCCCUGCGCACCGCCGUCGCCGCCCUGGCCGCCCCAGCAGCCUGCGACCAGCCUGGGCAACUCUGGGCUGAGGCGGAUCCAAUUCCUUCCCCUCACGCCACCACAACUCGGGGCCGACUUUAUCGCCUUUCUCUGGUCACCGGCAGCUCGUCGCCGCCACCCCGCCGCUAUGGCCUUUGCGAUCUGCCGAGCCCGAGCCGAGCCCAUACGGGCUCGGGAUGCUCCAGCGCCACCGCCGCCGUCCUCCGCCGCCAGCCGGCGUGAGCGCUGCCUCCCCUAUGUCGGCCGCACCCGUCCCCCGCCGGCGCCCCCGCCGUCGAAGCUCCCUAUUGGCCGGACUGGGCCCGUGCUCUCCACGGGUUGGUGUGGCUAGGGCAUCAGUGCUCGUCGUCGCCGCCGUCUUCCCUCGCGGACUGACGUGUGCCCCAGCCUUCCUCCGUCACCCGCACCUGCCUGCUGCCAGCGCGCCCGCCAUCCGACCGCCGCCGGCCGCCCGUGCUCCACCUAGCUCCGAUACGCUUAAGUUAAUGGUUUUUGUGCACUGUCUCGGGUUCGGGUUGUUGUUCCGAUGACCUGGGGCCACCCCAAGGCUUCCGAAGGUGAGCACGAUGAUCCUGGAUCAGUGCUGAUCAUCGUGAUCACAUUCGUUGGGGUCAGCGAGCUCCUGGUUUGCAAGAUAAGCAUGUUUUUCAUGCUGUGCGCGCAGUUCGCAAAUUUUUGCGCCGCUCCCGCGCUCUCCACAGUGGUCGGCUAUGCUCCGAAUUGUGAGCACGGCCUCCGAAACGUCGAGACCUAUCAGAGAGUGCCUCGGCCAGGCUUGAAGGUCCUCGGUUUGCGCUGUCCGGCCGUAAAACUCCGGAAAUCACAUAAAAUGAUGUGAUUUUAUGUAUUUGCGGGGGCUUUUCUGCAGUUGACACUUCCUGGCUACUAUGGGUACUGUGUACGGACAGCGGGUGACCUCUGAAAUGGUUGUCUAAGGCCCCAGGCUUUUCCGAAAAUCAAAUGUUGAUUUCUGGUGCGUUUUUCGGUGAAAUUCGCCGACGGAACACAAUUUCGGUUCGGAAUUCUUUCGAUGGUGCCUCACGGUUGAUCAUGUUGUCGCUGAGCCUAGUUGGCUGGUCACCCACAUCGUUUCGAGGGUUCGGAAAUGACAGGUUAGCGACGGUAGGUUCCGGUGUCGAAUUAGACACUUCCGGGAACCCAGAUCGGAACGAUUAUCCGACGAUAAUCGUUUCGAUGUGAGGAAGUGUGUUUGCUCCUUGGUCACACGAAUAUAUGUGUUUCAUGGCAAUGGAUGACUCGUAGCACGAGUCGGUGAGUUCCGGGACAGUUCGUGGGUCCCGGCAGAGUCCCGAUGCGAUUUUCGAGACUUCCGACGAGUUCAGCAAUCGAUUUUGGGAAACCGAUUCCCAUAGGAUUAUUAGUGGGGAUUGUGAGUUAGUGUUUUGUGUUCGUGGGUUGGAUUCUAACCCGGUGGACCCUUCAUAGGUCCUGUUGUUACUUCAUCCGUAGUUGGAAGGCCAGUACCAUAUUUGUACAGGUGGGUACUUCGAUCCGAAGUCGGUACAGUGGUGCACGCUCGGUGAUAUCUUCUUACCCUUGUUCUCCCGUUAUUACUCUAUAUGCAUAUAUAUAUAUAGUGUUGAGCUUAGCACCUGGUUAACUCUAUCUGUCGCUCUACUUGAUUGUUUAUAUCUCUAGUAUCAUGAGUACAAGUAGAGCAGGUUUACGAUUGCUUGUGAAAUCUGUGAUCUAGUUGGCCGGUUCUUGUACCUCGUACCGGUGACCUAUUCGGUCGAUUCACUACAUCCAUUAUUGUGAUUUACUUGGUCGGUUGGACCACUUGGUGACCUAUAUGGUCAAUAUACCUAGAGAGGUUGGAUUGUCGGCUGGUUGCCGAUGUUUGGCCUUUUAUCUCAUAUCUGUGAUCUAUUCGAUUGGCUUACUGCAUUGUUAUUGUGACCUUGUUGGUCGGUCCUUUUAUCUCAUAUCUGUGACCUAUUCGAUUGGCUUACUGCAUUGUUAUCGUGACCUACUCAGUCGGUUGGAUUAUGUGAUGACCUAUACGGUCGGUAUACCCUGAAGGGUAGGAUUGUCAGUUAGUGGUUGACGGUUAGUUUUGGAUUAUACUUGCAUAUCUUCGAUAAGAUGAUGAGUGGUUCCAUUCUAGUUGACCUGAGUGGUCGGUACUUGUGUUUCUUACAGUUCGAUGACUUUUUGGUCAGUGUGCCCCGAGAAGCGGUAAUUGUCGGCUAGUUGCUGACGGUUGGCUAUUUAGCAUAUCAGCAUCGAUCGCCACUGCUCGUACGCAUUUCACGAAUACCAGCGGUUUGGCCACCGCAAGAGGGUGUUCUUUUCCGAAAAAGUGGUUGGGAGUGCCAGCCCAUGAGCCCAAGAGGGAUUAUAUGCUUUCAGACCCAAGAGCUUAUGCUGGGGUCCGAACCAAGAGCUUAUGCUGGGGUCGUAUACAGGUUAGAGCAGUUGUGGCAUAGGCCUGAGGUGUUGCAGACCAAUAUGACUGUUUCAGAUUGGGUAUUUUUGGACUUGUCGUCCGGUUGAUGCAUACAUACAGUAGCGGUAGUUGUUCAUUAUACCUCUUGUUCGUUUAUUAUUGUUGCUAUUGUAUUACCUUUACUAUAUCUUUGUUUAUCCUCCUUGACUGGUGAGUACCCCUCGCCCUCGUUGGCUUGCUGUACCCACUGGAAGGGGAGACAUGUUUACAUGUUCUGACCUCCCACCCCCAUUACAGGUGACGUCGCGGGUCCUAGUCGGACGGUUCGUGAGGAGCGCAGUUAGCGAUCGGUAGAGCUACCGUCCCGUCAGUCGGUUAAAAUCAAAACUCAGUCUCUUUUAAGAAUGACUUAGAAUGCAAUUAUGGUUCAGUAUUUCCUUUCAUUGAAUAAUUGGGAUUUUAUGAAUGUAAAAUGAAGGAAUUGUGAUUCUUGCAAACUGGAAAUGGUUUACCCCUCGUGGUAGUGGGUUUUAAAAGGAAAAAGGUUUCCGUGUGGGAAACGAUUUUUAAAAGAUUUUCUCGGUUUCAGGAUUUAGUGUUUUAAAACGAGUUUCCGGGUAGGAAACAUUUUAAAACUAAUAGUUGUGGAUUUAUGAAUAGCUCUGAAUGUGAAUAUGAAUGGUGCGUGGAUAUGUGUAUGUGCAUAUGUGUGGUUGUAUCCUGUUUGGUAAAUCUUGUAUCUUGUACUUAUGCGACGCAAUGCAAAUACAGGGGAGACUCUGUCCGUGUGAACAGUGGAUUCCCUAUAUUUGUGGUGGAUCUGGCAUAUCUUAGGAUCAGGUUUUCAAAAGAAAAAAAAUUUGGACACUUCCGCUAUGCUUUUAAAUCAAAAAAGGAACCCGGGGCGUGACAGUAAGGCCUUUGAAGUAAAAGAUCUUAGACCAGUACGUCAAAUUUUUGGCAUGGAGAUUUGGCGGGAUGGGCAAAAUGGCACAUUGUCACUUUCACAAAAGAGAUUUGUAGAAAAAAUUGGUAGACAAGUUUGGCAUGGGUAAAUCAAAGGUGGUAAAGAUACCAUUUGCAUCUCACUUCAAAUUAUCUUCAGAACAAAGUCCAAAUCCUGGAAAGGUGCAUUGGAAGGCGGCGAAAUGGAUUCUUCGCUAUUUGAAAGGUACAAGUGAUUAUGCAAUCAUGUAUGGCAAAAACUCAAGGCCAUUGCAAGAUUAUGUUGAUGCUAAUUUUGCCGGUGAUCUUGACAAGAGAAGAUCUAAAACGGAUUUUGUAUUUGAACAUAAAAAUGGUUCAAUUAGUUAGAUGUCCAAGCUUCAAGUAAUGGUGGAUUUGUCAACGACGAAGGUUGAGUACAUGGCACUUACCAAGGCAACCGAGGAGGCAAUGUGGCUUCAAGGUUUAAUGAAAGAGCUUGGUAUGAAUUUUAAACCUACGUGUUUGUUAUGUGAUAGUAUGAGUGCAAUAUAUUUAACUUAAAAUCCGGUUUAUCAUAAAAGGACUAAACAUAUUGAUGUACAAUAUCAUUAUAUCUGAGAUGUUGAAGAUGGCAAGGGGAAGGUGUUGAAAGUUGGCACUUAUGAGAAUGUGGCCGAUAUGCUCACAAAGCCGGUACAAGUAGAGAAAUUGAAUUAGAUCCUAACUUUUUUAGGCUUCAAGUUGAGUGAAGGAUAAAAGCACAUAGUUGGCUCGGAGACGAGGAGCGGUGAUUUUUCUAUCAAGGUGGAGGUUGAUAUCAAAUUCAUAGCCUAUUUGGUUCAUUUUGGAUUUGGUUUAUUAACUCAUGUAAUGGGCUAUUUAGUAAUUGGUUUGGACUUUAGUUGACCCAUUGGUAUAUUGGGCCAAGUGAUGUUAAGAGAGGGAUUCUCCCUGGGUUUGGAAGGAAGUGUUCUCAUUUUUGCUUUCUAGAGUUCUCUUUUCUUGACAUAGAGAAGAGAGGUGAAAAGAGGGUUAGAGAAGGAAUUCUCUUGUUCUUCUUUCUUGAUUCAAAGCUUUCAAGGUUGAUUGGAGGAAUCUUAAGAGACAUCCUGAAGCAAAAUUCGCAUAAUUGGAAGGUGCUUCAAAGAAAGUGUAACAAGAAGGAAUUUUCAUUGGAAGGUUUACAACCCAUUGUAAUAGAGUGGUAAUUUCUAACUAAAUCUUAUAAUCCUCUCAAUUUGAUAGUAGAUUUGAUCUUUCGUGUCCGUGGAUGUGGCCCAAUUUUGAUCAACCAUAUAAAUUUUUUUGCAUUAUUGUGACUGUAAGCCCAUUGUAAUAAUAGAUGGAAAUAUCUAACCAAAUCUUGUAAUCUAUUUAAUUUGAUAGUGAAUUUGAUCUCUCCGUGCACGUGAACGUAGCCCUGCUUGAAUGAACCACGUACAUCUUGCAUUACUAUGGUUGUGCUUGGAUUUCUCCAUUCUGCUUUAUUUACUCCAAAGUUAGCACUUUUUUAUCGUGGACAAUUUAAAUACAUUACAUUUAUUAACUAGUGUGAUUAAUAUCUUGAUGGUAUGGAUUCUGUUAUUAUCGCACUAUACUACCAGCUGUUGGUAGCUCCUGAAGCAAACCUAUAGACCCAUUUGUCAAAGUAACAAUCACCAAGCGUACACUGAAUUAAACUGAUCCAACUGUCCACAGAGCAAAAAUAACUUCUAAAGAUUUGAAUCAUCAAAUAAUUAGAGUAGAAACACGAAGGGAAAAUAUUUGACUCAAAACGACAACGUCACGCACCAUUCUGAUCCAUGAGAAGAACAUGUCCAUCCUGUUAACAAGAAAACUAUAACCUCUCAUCAUGGUACAUGCAAGGCCAUGCAUGACAAACUUGGAUGAUGAUGUCACGAUUUUGUCUUCCCCCUGAGACACCAUGCAAGUUUAGAGCCUAGUUAUAGACCAUGUAUUUGGGCGUCGCGCUGAAUUUCUGAUAGCCCUUAAUGACCUUAUUCACUGCAUCCAGAAAAUCUUUCUCUGUCACCGUCUUCCUGCGUGCCCGGAUCGCGAACAUCCCAGCUUCAGUGCACACGCUCCGUAUAUCCGCCCCUAUUCAUGAAAGGAAAAGAAUACACGAUAUAACUAGGAAACAUGACAAGUAAAAGAGAGGAAACAUGACGAGUAAAAGAGACAAUGACAAAGAGACAAUAAUAUGUGAUUGGCCCUCAAACAUGGACUAAAUAUUAAUCAAAUACUUACCAGUGGAGUUAGGGCAGAGGCGAGCAAGAAGCUCAAAUCUGAUGUCCCUUUCGCAAUUCAUUGUUUUUGUGUGGAUCUUGAAUAUCUGUGUGCGGCCUUCUAAAUCGGGGAGACCAAACUCGACCUUACGGUCUAACCUUCCAGGUCGCAGAAGAGCUGGGUCUAAAGUAUCAGGCCUGUAAUAAUUUAAAACAGGUGUAACAGCUUUGGAUAACUUGUAUACACUGCAUUAAACUAAAAAUAAUCCAGAUUAUCCUGAAUGUGACUAAGGAUAAUUCUGAAGAAAGCAAAUAUAUACGCUACGCUAUCCAUCCGAAAGAGUGCUGCUAAUAACAAUAAGAUGAUGCUGACACUAAGGACUGACUCAGGUUUUUCAUCUGAUCCUUUCUCACUCAUUCAUUACUCUUACAAAGAUCGUAUCAGAUAAAACAGGAAUUAAUAAGGUCCAAAGCAAAAGAAAAAAUCUAUUCGAGUUGGAAAUACUGUUUUGUCAAACAUAUUCAACUGUUCGGUCAAAUAAAUAAAAAGGAUGAAACAAGAAAAAUAUCCUCACUGCAUAUAAUUAGGGCAAUCUAACGUCCUUCCAAUAAUUACUAGAUCGAAAUAAAUAACUAACUUUUGUAUAGAGGCAAACAAAAACUAAACUUUCAAAGGGUAACAUCAAAUUCAACAAAGAUCACCAAAAAACUAAUUGAGUUUCAAGAGUUUUAGCAAUACCUUGCUCAAAGGUCAACCAUGUAUAACAAAGAACUAUACAUGAAAUCCUAUAUCUAGGAAUGAUACUUCAAAAGCCCCAUCAGGAUGUGGCAUUCAUCCAAACAUGCAUGUCAAAUUUUAAACAAGUAAUUACGAAAUAAUUAGGGUAUUACUGAUGUAACAUAGUCAUAAUAAAUGGAAAGUUAAAGAAUUUACUCUUUAAAACUCAACAGAAACCAAUGCACCCUGAAGUGCUGCAAGCAGUGACUACAUUUAUAUUCUGUGUCAGUAUUAUCUCCUCUAUUUGCUUCAUAUUUCUUGGACUUCCAAGACAGCCAAAAACUAAAACUUUAAACGACCGGGCAAAAACAACAUACAAACAAUAUAUCUUGCUAUAAAUCAUAGUUCAAACAGCAUUUCAUAUCUAGUAAGCAUUUAUGUCUUCUUCUACUCCAAAGUCAAAAUCCUAGAAUGCUCUUUAAAUAACCAACAGAGAAGUGCAUCCUUUACAAGUUAGAGAGCAUAAAAGUGAAUUUUUACCGACUUGAAGAUGGCACUCGCCACUACAUUGAGGGUAACAGGGGUUAACCUACUAAUAAACAAGAUGAUAUAAACAAGGUAAACCUAUAGAAUCUAAUUGAAACACCAACUAGAUGGCAUAUACAAGAACAAGAGCAGUAGCUAAGACUGAUAGCGUACCUGUUGGUUGCCAUUAGGACUUUAAUAUUCCCUCGAGCAUCAAAUCCAUCAAGCUGAUUCACAAUUUCAAGCAUAGUGCGCUGAACUUCGUUGUCACCGCCAACACCGUCAUCGAAACGAGCACCACCAAUGGCAUCAACUUCAUCAAAAAAGACAAUGCAUGCCUUCUUUGAGCGAGCCAUCUACAAUGAUAAAGGAAAAGCUUUCAGAAGAAUAGUUAUAUAUAAUUAUGAAGUUAAAUGCACAGAAAUGAGAAACCGAAUACUCUAUAACCAAUUGCAACACUGAAUGUAAUUUAACUACCUGGAAAAGUUCACGAACCAUCCGAGCUCCCUCUCCAACAUAUUUUUGAACAAGCUCACUUCCAAUGACACGAAUGAAGCAAGCAUCAGUUCUGUUGGCUACUGCUCUGGCAAGGAGUGUUUUACCUGUUCCUGGAGGACCAUAACAUAGGACGCCUUUAGGAGGAUCGAUACCAAGCUUAACAAAUUUCUCCGGAUGAAGCAUAGGAAGCUCCACAACCUAGAUGGAAAUGACACAUCAAGAUUUUAAAAUACAGGUUAAAGUUCAGACCUACAAAAGUCUAACUUUUCCACCCUUAUUACUAGACCGAUAUCUGAAGUCCCAACUGAUAUAGAAAAUUAUUUCCAGAUCUUUAGCAGAAUAAUAGUAACAUCAUACCUCUCUCAUCUUCUCAAUUUGCUCCUUACAUCCGCCGACAUCAUUGUAUGUUACGUCAGGCUUCUCCUCUACGGUCAUCAUGGUAACACUUGGAUCAAUUUUUGGUGGAAGAGGAAUUUGAAUUUGAUACUUGUUUCGAUCAACUCUGUGGCGAAAAGUAAGAGAAUAAGACAAACCUUCAAAUACAAGCUCCACAAUUUGAGAUUAAUGGCACUAGAAAUAAUUACUUAUUGCAUUCAAUUAUCAACUUUCUUGUUAGCCUUCACUUCCAACAGAAAUGCCCUAUCCAGAGUAUGUCAAACUCCUAAGCUUGUAAAUGCUCGUAAACAAUAAUGUGGCUGACCGACUAACCCAGAAGGCGCUAUGGAACACUAUAGAAAGACAUAUUUGGAUUGUUUUCCUUAAAAGAUUUAAAAUAAAAACUGAACUGCCAGAUUGUAAGGACCCACACCUCACAGUAGGAAGAGCUGCAGCCCGAUGUACGCUACUGGCCCACUCUAAAGAGAACAGAGUAUUGAGGAAAAUGAGAAAGAAAAGCCUUGGAAUCUACACAUCAAUAUCAACCAUACUAGCAAUAAAAUGACAAUAUUUCUUCACAAUAUAAUUUCUCCAUUUUUCUCAGAACUAUGUCCUCUAGACGUAAGCCAAUCUAGAUUUGUCAACUGGUAAAAGUAUUUCCAAGAACAUACCGACAAAACAACUUCAAAAGAACAAUAAAAGUACUGAAUAUUUAAAAAACAUAGGCUCACCCUACACGCAUGCCUUCUUCAAUAUCAGUUGGAGAGACUUUGUCACCCAACCCAACAACAAACUGCGAAUGUCAAAAGAAGUAACUCCAAAUAAAAUUAAAUUCUCUUUGCUCAAAAGAGACGAACAAUCAAAUAUUACUGAGGAUAUACCUUAGCAAUUUGCUUAACAUUUAUCACAUACUUAGCAUCUUCGGUGUUUGGGUUGAUAAUUUUUGUACACCUUGCAACCUGAUUAAGCAAAAAAAGCAAUUUCUUUAGAAUAUGAAAACAAGGGGGGGGUGGGGUGAGGUGGCGGAACUUAUAUAUUGACUCUAACCUGUCGUCCAGAUAUAAGAGAAUCCAUGCACCUUAGAUAAAAGCAGUAAAAAAGGGUAAAUUUACCUGAAGAGGUUGUUCCUCUUGCAUCAUCUGCUUAUCAGAAACUAAAUCCCAUUGGCUUGGAGCAGCUAAGCCAGUAUCAGAUUCUUUGAUUCCUGGUAUUUAAUAAUAGCAAAUGUCUGAGAGUUUUAGUGAUAACAGCACACUAAUGAAAUACAAUCAAAACGCAAUCCUACUCCGUUCAUUAAGUAGGUUACCAAUCAAGGUACUUCAACUGAGUGAUGUUAUAAAACUAAUCUUUUGGCCCAUUUUUACACCUGAAAGUUGAAACAGCUCUUCAUCUAUCUUACACCUUUAUGCUGGUAGACUACGAAUAUAUCCAUACUUAGGUUCUCCUAUUGCAAAAUUUGAUCAAUCAGGAAUAAAACAAAGUUACACUGGUGAAUUUGAAAAUUUAUUAAUUAAUAGAUAUAAGUCAGUAAGGUAACAGGAACUUGAGAGCGCAAAAGCUUCCAAUCUAAAGAGAAUAAUUCAAAGUGAGGGCCAAGUGAGAAGCCAAUAACUAAUUAGACAUUCUAUUUUCUUUUUCUACUUUAUAUGAUACAAACACCACAUCAUAAACAUUCUCCAGAGAAUCACAGAUAAGCAUCUAAUCAAUCCUAUCUACUCAAUCACACAGACGAUCUCAGCCAGAAAUUUUAUAUAAUGGAUUUGGUUGGUAAAUUUCCUAACUCCUCUUUGUUGUAUGGAGUUAUAAUUUUCUAUGCUGUUGUAAGAGUUGUGUCUUCCCAUAAAAGAUUUAUCCCUUCUUCAAGCGGAUGAGAUACUUUCACCUUUAAUCCUUCUCUUCAAUCAGAAGGACCUCUGCCGGUCUAUUUUACUUCCACUACUCUAUCUUUACCAAUGUUCUAAAUCAAAUACCGCAGAAAGGGAGACAGAGUCUCCAUUGCAACCCAUGUUCUGUGCAAAAGUGCAAUCCUGAUAGAACUCUUGAUAUUGCAAGAUCAGCAUGAAAAUAAAAGAUAGUGUAUAUAGGAAAUAUCUUGUCCCCCUACCCGUCAAAUGGGUUAGACAGACCUGACUAAACACAUUAGCUCUGAUAUAAUGAAAGAGUAAGACUUGUCCAAGAGCAUAUCCGCCAAACUAAAGUAAGUCAUUUUAUCUGCUAGCAAUUAGGAAAACGGUCAAACCAAUUUGUUGAAAUACAAAUACAUCAGCAGCAUUGCUGUAAUAUACUGGGCUCAAAUCAAUUUGAUUUAAGUUAUCUGUAAAAUUAGCUUGACAAGUUUGACUCUGAUUCUGGGAGGAAUUACACUAAAUUGGUUCGAGUUUGAGACAAAUUUAAUGUGAAAAUGGAAUGUGAAAAUUUAAAGCACUGAAAACUUGAGUUUCAGAGCAUUUUUGAGUAGCCAGGAAAAGGUUUUGGGCGCCCAGAACCUGUACAGGCCGUGGAACUGACUAAGUGGAUUGGAAACCAACUUAUUUCCAGAUGCACGAACGGACUGUACAGGUUCUGGGCCGUGGAAAUUUACAAUUUCGGAUUGUAAAUUGGGUGCCCAAAAUUCCUUUUACAUGCUCAACCUUAGAGAACAAGCUACUGUUUCAGUUAAUUAUUCGGGCGCCCCAAAUACUUUUUGCGUGUUCGAAACACUUUUAAAGGCGAUAGGGACGCCCAGAACGAUCGUAAAGGAGGCCGAAAAGUAAGGAUUUAAGUGCCCAUAGGCACGGGCCGUAUCUAUCGUGCCAUAUCAUGCCAACAAAAUAUCUGCACGAUAAAACUCCCGUGCCGAUGGCAUAGCUCAAAACCCUAUUUUAUUUGAUAAAAAUACAUAACAAGCAAUUAGAAUAUCUUGUUGCUAAAGAAAAUAUAUAUUCCAUGCCAUUACGUGUCAGCAGAGGUGUAUCUUUUGUGAUCGGCACGCAUCAGUACAGCCCGGCACGCACCAUGCUGUAUCGUGCCAGCAAGUUUUCGGCACGACCGCAUGUCGCGGCACUUAAAUCCUUGCUGAAAAGGCUUCUAUCGAGCGCCCGAAACAUGCUCCAAGCAUCCGAAAAUCCGUAAAAGGCUCGAAUCAUUUUGUAUAUUACAAAUUUUAUAUUUUGGAGGGAUCUAAAUGGAAUUGUUACCUCUGAAUAAAUAUUCCCUCACCCAGCUGGCUUCCUUCUACUGGUUUCACUGAGGAAAUUCUUCAACUUUUCUCUCUCUCAGUCUUCCUUUUCUUCUUCUUCUUCGUAUUCUUCCUCUUUUCUUCUCUCCCUCAAUCCUGCUGAGCCUACAUUUGUUUACCUCAGAGCCCCCUGAAGCUAGGAGUUGAGCCUGGGUAGUAACAGGAGAUCUCAAGGAAGGUACCCAGAAGCUUCAACUAGGAUUUUUGCAAAGGUAAAUAUCGAAUUAUUUGACAGAUGAGAUAAUUGGGUUUUGAUAGUUUUUCUAGUAUACCGAAAAAAUGGAAGGUUUAAAUUUUAGGAACUAGUUGGGAUGGAUUAUCAUGACAGUGUUGUUGGCUGUAGGUGUUUGACAAUUGACAGGGUUGAAGACUAUAAUAUUCCACAGUUAGCAAGAAAUUCCAGUGGUACCCCAAAAUUGGUGACCUCCCUCUGUCUCAUUUUAUUUAUACCUCAGCAUGAGUCUAUAUUAUUCAAUAAUUUUGUAAAUUACUAGCAAAAUUUUGGAACAAUUGUAUUUGCCUGAAUUAAUGACAAAGAUUGAAAAACUAUAAACUGAGAACAAAGAUGACAUAAAGAGAACAUCCUGAGAUCUGAUUGAUCAUGACAAGUGACCAUGGCUUGCAAGAGCCAAAUUGAGCUCAGCUACUUGCGAUACUUGCGUGGGGUCACACCCGGCGAGCGGGGCUUCCGAAGGUGUUGCCCAACGGCCGGCGUAUUCUUGAGCCAUUUUCAGUUGGGCGCCUGGGUGGGUUUGUGUGUUUUUCAGCGGCUCACCAGACGCAAGACAGGCUUGAUUGAACUCAGAGCCAGUUGCCGUGAUUGAGAAAUGUUGGGAAAAUCCAUUUAAACAAUUGAUGCAUGAAAAAUUAGUUUAACCAAUUGGUAGCAAAAAUUUUGUGUUGUAGAGGCAUAGCAGUAUCAUCAUGUUCCUGCCUAUUCUUUCUGUCAUGUUAUUAUUAGUGAUUCUGCUCUUUACUAUUUAUGCCUCACAAGGAUCUAGUGGUGUAGGCCGUCCAUUUUGGCAACUGAACCACUGUGAACUGUUUUUUAUAGUUCUUACACCCUCGUUGUGGUUUCUAUUUCAAAGAGCACUUCAUCCACCGAAGAGCACAACAAGGAGCUAGCGAAGUAGAUAGCAUUAUCGUCCGUGGGAAAAGCAUAGAGAUGACCCUAUGUUUAUGUUUUGUAUAUGAGAACAUAAUGUAAUGAAAUAGUUAAACUUGUGUAUGUUGUUUAUAUUAUCUUUGAUACCAUGUCAUUUAUUGUCUUAUCCAGUUCUUCGCUUUGUUUGUAUUAGUUGUGUACGCUUCGUAUGUAUGGUGGAUAAUUCCGUACAUACGGUGGAUCUGUUAGCACUACCAGGGAGCUUUUGCUGUAAUCCCGAGGCAUGAUAAAUUAAGUUGGUAUCAGAGCCUAGGAAAGUUAGUUGGCGGACCCAAUAAACUACAGGCUUUAUGGUGACCUUAGAAACUUAGGAACAAGAGUGAACAUGAUCUUAUGCCGGAAGUAAAUUGAUUGGAUCACGUUUAAGUCUCCAAGUGAGCAUUGAGGACAGAUUGAUGGUGUUAUACCUUUUCCUUUUCAAUAAUCAUGUUGCCUGCAGACAAUAUGAUGUUGUAAAAAGUAAAAAGGUAGCAUCCUUCACUUGCUUCCGCAUGAUUGGGUUGAUUUAUAUUUGUGUUGAUUUAAUUAUUGUGAAGUUAUAUAUAUAAAUUGCUGAGAAAUAAAUUUUGUCUUGUUUUAGAUUGUUGAGAUGGCACACCGUGGAAGACCCCCAACGAGGUCUACACCAGCACCACCCGACGCUCCAGACCAGGCUGGGUUUAGUGAAGUCUGCAAGCUUCAAGAACAAAUGGUCGUCCUGGUAGUAGUUCAGAGACGAGGCAAUGGCGGAAAGGGAAACUGAGGCCUCUUAGCGCGAGGAACAAAUUAGGAAACUACAAAAGUUGGUGGCAUAGCAAAUAGGUGCAACUUGGGGGACUUAAGAGCAAGUCCCACCUCUUGCAACAGUUAUUACCCUAAGUGUCACUGCAGGGCCUUCAAAGAUGACCAUUCCGACGACAGCCACUCCUCUUCCACCGACGGCCGCUCCUGCAAUAGCUCCUCCUCCGCCAAUGGGCUCGAACACUUCAGUUGCGAAGUAGGCUUCGAUAGAAGCGGAACAAGAGCAAGCUCAAUCCACUCUUGCAAUUCGAAAAUUUGAUGGAAAGGCCGUGGAGCCUUGGAUAGUGGAAGGCUAGAUUGACUCUUUGAAAAAGCUUUCAAAGAGUUGUACAUUCCGGAGAAAGAUAAAGUGCAUUUAGCGGCACAUUGUUUGCAAGGUGAAGCACACAGUUGUUGGAAGCGAGCACGAGCAGCCGACCUGAGGGUGCCGCUCCUCCAACGUGGGAAGAAUUCUAGGAAAUACUUUUCAACACAUAUUUUCCGAGAAGUGCUAAAGAUAAAUUGGAGGAUUUUAGAAAAUUACGGCAAGAGAACAGAUAAUGAGGAAGUACGAGCGAGAGUUCACUCGGCUCCUAAAUUGUGUCCCCUAUGCCGUGCGGGAUGAAAGGCAGAAGGCACUAGCUUUCGAGCAGGUGCUACAACCCGAGGUUUAUCAGCUAGUGCAUUCUCAGCACCUACAGAUAUUACCCGAGGUGUUUGAGCUAGCUAUGUGAGUAGAGCGAGGACAGGUCAUAGUGCUGGAAGAAACUGAAGCAUUGGCAAAAGAAAAGGAGAAAAAGCGCCCCACUGAGAAAUCAAGUAGCCAAUCUAGUUCAAAGAGGCCUUUGAAAUAGUUUCACCCGCGACCUCUAAGUUGAGGAUCCUUUACAAGUCGAAGGCCCUUCACACCGCGACAACAGCAGCAACAACAGAGGAGAUGUAUUAUCUAUGGCAGCCCGCACCCCCCCAUUAUGUGUUCCUAGCGAGCGAGCCAAUGUUAGUAAUGCAACCAGCUAGGUCAUUUUUAGGCAGAAUGUCCGCGAGGGGCUUCGCCAACCCCUUCUGUAGCUUCUACUCCCUCAACUCCUAGAUCAGCGGCUAUAGUCUCCUCGACUUCCACCCCUAUUAGCAAAGUUACAAAUAGCGGAUAGCGGGUACAUAGCGUUUGGAGAGUCUCGUAGCGGAAAACGGAUAGCCGGCGCCAUAGCAGGUGCUAUGAACUUAUAGCGGGUUUCAUAAAAACAAAUUUAAUAUGUUUAUAUUCCUUAUAAAAAAUACAUAUAAUUUUGAUGAAAAGACAACUAAUCAUUCUUUUUUUUUAGUAUUGCAAGCCUACAUAUAUGUAAUGUCAUUAUCCAUGAAAAAUUCAAGAUUAAGUUUAAAAUAUUUAGCAAACCAAAAAGACAUAAAACUAGAAAAUCUAUAAUCCAUUAACAAUCUAAACAAUUUGUAAAUGGAUGUCAAAAAGGAUAUCUUAGGUAAAUAAUUAUUUUCCAAAUCCUUAGAAACAGGGUUUGUUCUUUAUAUUUCAUUUAAGAAUCCGGCCCGAUAAGCUAUUUUAAUCGGUUUGCACGUUUUAAAGGUUUGGGCUCAUAGCACCCGCUUUCCAACCACUUUAUAGUAGUUGCUAUAGCGGGCCCUCUGCCGCUAAAGCGGCCGCUAUGAACCCGAUCCACUAUAUACCGCUUUACAUAUUAUAGCGUAGCGGUAGCACAUAAAUCCGCUAUAACGGCCACUAAGGCGGGCAUAGCGGCCGCUAUUUAAAACACUGCCUCUUAGUCAUCCCCUGGGGCAGUGCUAGGCUACGACUUCUAGGAAGGCACUAAGUGGAAGAAUAUGCGUAGCUCAAGUGGAUGAUUAGUCAGGCGUUGAUAAUGUUGUUGCAAGUAUUUUUUAAAUUAAUGGCAUAAGAGUACAUACUUUAUUUGAUACUGGCGCGCCUCAUUCUUUUGUUAGUCGAACUUUUGCUGCAUUACAUGGAUUGGAGUUAGUUACCCUGUCAUACAUAGAGGAGGUUAGUAUACCAAAUCAAAUUUUACAUGUUACAGAGUAUUCUCUCUCUUGUCCAGUGAGGGUUGGAGAUUGGAUUAUACCUAUGGACUUAUUGGGCCUAAAGCAAGUGGAGGAUUUUGGCGUGGUAUUGCGAGCAAAUUGGCUUACCCGUUAUUAUGUGACAAUUGAUUGUGGAAAUCGCACAAUAAUUUUUCGGGAACCGAGACAAGAGUUUGCUUAUCAUGGUUACAAGAGCACUUUGUUCGCAACCACGAUUUCCUCAUCACGGGCAAAGUAGUUGGUGAACCGUGGGUGUGUUGCAUUUUUGGCAAUAGUGAUUGAAGUGCCAAAGAGGUUCCGAAGCUCGAAGAUAUUCCUAUAGUCCAAGAGUUCCUUGAUAUAUUUCCCCCGAAAUUGCCAGGUAUGCCACCAGGCAGGAAAGUCAAAUUUGUUUUAAAUGUGAUUCCAAGGACUGCGACAAUUUCAAAAGCGCCUAUUGGAAUGGCACAUGCAGUAUUUAAGGAAUUAAAGGCACAACUACAAGAUCAACUAGAAAAAGGAUUUAUCAAACCUAGUAUAUCUCCCUGUGGAGCACUAGUUCUUUUUGUGAAAAAGAAUGAUGCUACGUUGAGAUUAUGCAUGGAUCACAUCGAGUUGAACAAGGUUACUAUCAAGAAUAAAUAUCCAUUGCCACGCACUGAUGAGUCAUUUGAUCAACUCCAAGGCUCUCAGGUAUAUUCAAAGAUAUGCUCUCGAGUAUAUUCAAAGAUUGAUCUUCAAUUAAGAUACCACCAAUUAAAGAUUAAACCUGAAGAUGUACCCAAAACGACAUUCAGGGCAAGAUAUGGACAUUAUUGUAAUAUACCGUACUUCUACGAUUAUGAAGUUUUGGUGGGAACUAGCUUAAAAAGCUAAUUAAACAAGUUCCAGCAAGGUUUGGAGAGCAUUCGAGUGUUUUCGGUGCAAAUUAGACGCGAAAACGAACUCGACAGGAUGAAAUCUGCCUAACAUGUAGGUUUUGCAUUGGGUGCCAGUACUGAGAAGUGAGUAUCGGUACGCAAUGCAAAGAGUGGAAAAUCUGCUCUCGAGUAUUAAGAUACCAAGGCUUGGGUACCGGAACCAAAUUGGUGAAAUUUGUAUUGAGAGCCGGUACGCGGGGUUGGGUACCGGUACACCAUGUAAAUGUUGGAAAGAUGGGCUUUUAGGUUUUUGAGGAAGCAAGCCUGGGUACCGGUACUGGUUGGUGGGUACCAGUACUGGCAGCCCGAGUGCCGGUACUCCAACUUGGCAGAAGGUUAUUUUUGAAGGGCAAUUUGGUAAAUUCAGUGGGGGCUCAAAUAAGGGGUGCCCUCUCCCUUUCCCCAGCAGAAAAUGCACACACGCGUUGGGAGAGUGACGGGGAGAGAGAAGGAGCUGCUCUCUCACUCUCUUCUUCAUCUUCUUCUUCUCCAAUUUGGAGAUCUUAGUGGCGAUCAAGCUCGGGAACUCGUAGUGAACAGUGGAUCAAGCUCUAGGGCGCUUGGAGGUUCGGAGUGCUUCCGACUCGAGGUUCAUUUUUGGGUUAAAAGUUUAGGGUUUGGAUGGAAUCCUUUGAAAUGAGAUUCUAGAGACCUCUAGAUGGUUCUAAGCUAAUCUAAUCAAGAUUUCUCCAUGAAUUUUGAGAUAUUCUUGGAGAAAUGAGAAUCUAGGGUUAGAGUUGGGGGUUUUGGAAUUUUUAAGGUUUUAACCAAUUGAUCUCCUAAUUCUCUAAUUGAAGGACUGAGGAGAGCCCCGGACAACCGUGAAUUGGAAUUUAUCAAGCGUUCGAUGGUCGAUUCCGAGUACGAGCCGAACCGGGCGACGUUUGCCACGGAAGUCCGAUUGCAAGUGUCUACAAGCAAUCGGAAGCAUUGUGAGGUGGGUUGUGCUUCACCGAAGUGAGUAGGUCGCUUCCAUGCCACAGUGAAGUAUGAUUUUAUUAUUGAUGCAUGCAUAUAAUGGUAGAUUAUUGAUUAAAUGAGUAGGCAUAAAUUGUAUGCUACUUAGCGUAAAGUUUCUACCCUUGGACAAGAAUUGGACAAGUAUAGAGGCAUGUGGAACAUAUAGGAUACAUGUAUGCCUAGUUAUGGUUAUUGAACAUAGGUCGAUGAACUGUAAACAAAUUAGAAAACUCGACCAUUGGAAACAAAGACUAAAUGUCAUGAAUCCUAGGUAUGGACGACUAGGAUAACAAGUGGCAUGACUGGACAUGGAACCUAGUGUGUCAUUGAACAUAGGUUGAACAUUGAAUCUAGAGUCAGGUGAACCUAGGUGGAAGAACAUAGGACCUAGAAUAGCUGAACCUCGGUUAUGGAAUAUAGUGGUAUGGAACCUAGUGUUAUUAAACAUAGGUUGGAAUAAGGUUUAAAAUGCCGUGGCACGAGGGCGUGCCGUUAUGUCCAUGGCACGGUACGGCACAAGCACACUUGCAUGCCGACACGUGGCACGCGUGCCGAUAGAUACGAGUGACCUCCUACUAGCACGCUUUGGCACGGACUUAUUUCAGUUUUUUUAGUUCUAAUAAACUCUUAUAAUGUUAUUUUAAAAGAUUUAAAUAAAUAAUUAUGAAUAUUUAUUAUAUAUACCUUACUACACUCAUCAAUUAAUAUGCAUGUAAGCUUUUUAUAAAUAAAAUACAACUAUACCUGAUGUAGAAUAGAAAUUAAAAUACAAUAAUAAAAUUCACAAGUACAAUAAUUAUUUAAAUUUACAUCUUUAUAUAGAAAUGACUGCUUAAUUCGACAUAUAUCGUCACACUUGAUCAUAUGGCGUAUUGUCAUCUGCAAAUACAAGAUUUAUUUGACAAUAUUAAUAUAAGUAUUGCUGGUAUUGUGAGAAAGUCAUAUAUUCCAGAUAUUACAUCCAUAUUUUAUUUUUUUUAUUCUUUUUAAAAAUAUCUGAUCAAAAUUUAUUUAGGAGAUCGAUUUUUGUUCCCUUGAUUCACCGAAAGCUUCGCGGUGCGACAAUUUCUGACAAAAUAUUUUGCGAAGAAAAAAUGGAUGUCUGUGGUGGAAGCGGAGGGCUCGGUAUGGAUCAAGUAUGUCAAUUAAAAAUUUGCUAUCAAUAUAGAAGUUAAAAAAAAAGGUAUCCGCCAAAAAGUAAAAAAAAAGUUGAAAAAAGACAAUAAAGUAAAAAAAAAAAAAAAGACAAUAUAGGUGGCCCAGAACGGGGGCUCGAUACCCCAGAGAACAAAACAAAAAAGAAAAAGCCAAAAAAAAAAGCAACGGCACGCGGCACGGUGCUGCGGCACAUGGCCGCGUGCCGCUUUGUCUCGAGCAGCACAGGCCAUGUGCCGCGGCACCCAGGAGGGGUCCGAGACCCCUCCUGUACCGUGCCCCUUUCUUGGGGGCAUGGUACGACACGCCCCAUGCCGUACGGCACGGGGCGGCACUUUGAACCUUGGGUUGGAAAACAUAGUAGUAGGAUGACCACUUAGACACGAGAUUAUGAACCUAGAGAGGUUGACAUCAUAGGGUAUUUGACCAACCCUUGAGACUUGGAAAGUGGGUCCCGGAAUCCCAGGACUUGUGAAUAUCGAUAAUUCUUGGCCGUGGGUGCAUGUGGCAGGUUCCUUUCCCACUGCAAGAACUUCGAGGAUUGUGAUUAAGAAAGAUUCUUGACCGUAGGUGCAUGUGGCAUGUUCCUCUCCCACUGAAAGAAUCUUCGAGUGCUAGGGUGUAUGUGGCAUGUUCCUCUCCCAAUGGGGGAUCCCGGCUGCGGGUGUAUGCGGCAUGUUUCUCUCCCACCGGGGGAUCCCUGACCACGGGUGUACGCAGUUCUUCGCGGCCCGCCAGCCGACUUGGUUUGUGAAUUGAAAGCUGAGGUGUAUGCAGCAUGUUCAUCUCCUCAAGCCUGGAUGUGAGCGGUAGUCCGCUGAUGAUCGACUCGAGAUCGAGUCAGGUAGUAUAGUUUGGCUAAGGUAAGAGAGCCUUAGAAAUGGCUUGUGGAAUAGAAAGUAGAAACGGUAGCUCUACUCGCAUUGGUUGUAUGAAUUGCAUUAUUGCAUUUGUGUGGCAUAAGAAUGUUAAUUGUUAGUUGCAUAAAAUUAUAUGUUUAUAUGUAUAUUGGACUAACUACUUAUGUUGCCUCCUUUGGACCUGGUGGGUCGAGCAUCUCCCUUGGGUGGCUGUACCCACUGGGAACUAUAUUUAUAGUUCUCACCUCUAUGUUUUUCAGGUCCACACGUGAGCGGCGCGACUGCGCCAGGGAAGGGCGUAGCUCGGUAGAUAGCGCCCUACCACUAAGAUCAGAGAUAGAAGUACCCCGAGUCAACAUAGCUUAGGGGUGUAGAAAAAAAAGAAUGAAACAAAAUUGUAAUAAGUUUGGUUGUAUUUGGAAGGGGAAUGUAAAUUUAAUGUAAAUGUGAUGUAAGAUGAGUUGAGUGCUUGUAAUAGUUAGUUGUUAUAUUUCUGAUGCCUUCCUUAUGCAAUCGAUGUAUGAAUACUGUUCCUAUUUGGAACCACUUGUACUAUACUGUUUGCGAUGCCUUGGACGUACAGGAAAGACUCUGUCUGUUCGGCGGUCUAUCGGCGCGCCCGAAUCCGACCAAAGAUGCGGGUUUCGGAGAGUGACAAUUAUGGUUUACGGUAAUGUCGUUUGGACUUACUAAUGCACCAACGGCAUUCAUGGAUUUAUUGAAUCGUGUCUUUGAGCCGUUUUUGGAUCAGCUCGUGGUGAUAUUCAUUGAUGGCAUUUUGAUUUACUCCCGAAGUAACGACGAGCAUAAGCAGCACCUACGACCCAAAUUCUUCGAAAAAAGAAAUUAUUUGCGAAACUGAAGAAAUGUGAAUUUGGUUAGAGAGGUUACUUUUUUGGGGCAUGUGAUAUCUAAGGCUAGGAUUUCUAUUGAGCUAAAGAAAAUUGGAACAACCCGAGAGUAGCCUCGACAAACAAAUAUGACUGAAGUAAGGAGCUUCCUUGGAUUGGCUAGGUAUUAUCGUCGAUUUGUAGAAGGCUUUGCAAGGCUCUCAACUCCUCUCACUCGUCUCACGCACAAAGGAACUAAGUUUAUUUGGAAUAAUGAGUGCCAGCAAAGUUUUGAGUAAAAGAAUAGAUUAAUGUCAGCUCCAAUCCUUGCAUUGCCUGUUCCAAAAGAAGGCUUUGUGAUCUAUAGUGAUGUUUCUCAAAGUGCGCUCGGUUGUGUGUUGAUGCAGAAUGGAGAAAUAAUUGCCUACACCUCUCGACAAUUAAAAGAAUACGUGAAGAGUUUAUCAACACACGACCUGGAGACUAAGCGACAGUGAUUUUUGCCCUUAAACUGUGGCAUCAUUAUCUAUAUAAAGAACGUUGAGAGGUUUAUAUAGAUCACAAAAAUCUUAAGUAUCUAUUCACUCAGAAAAAACUGAAUCUUAGAUAGCAUCGGUGGUUGAAAUUGUUAAAAGACUGAUAUUACUAGUUUAUACCACCCCGGCAAAUCUAAUGUGGUGACAGAUGCAAUAUGCCGAAAAUCAGUAGAAAUCUGGCUAUGAUCAUCACCAGACAAGCCCCGUUACUCGAGGAACUGUGAAGAUUCGAGUUGGAAGUGGUGACAAUAGGAGCUGCAAUCAAACUUAUGUCCCUAGUGGUGCAACCUUCUUUACUGGAAAGAAUCAAAGGUAAAAAGAAGGUUGACCCAAAUCUCCAAAAGAUGACGUGGAAAGGGGACAUACAGAGGAUUUCCACAUUGAUGAAUCAGGUACUCUUCAGUUUCACAACCAAUUUUAUGUACCGACCAAUACAGAGAUUCGAGAAGAAAUUUUGAAAGAAGUUUACUGUAUUCUAUUCAUUCUGGCGGCAGAAAAAUCUUUAAGACCUCAAGGCACAUUAUUGGUGGGCUGGAAUGAAAGAUAUUGGAAAAUAUAUAUCCCAGUACCUCAUUCGUCAACAGGCAAAGACAGAGCAUCGUCUUCCAACAGAAAAAUUACAGAGCCUACAAAUCCCUUUCUAGAAGACAGACAACAUUACUAUGCAUGAUACAGUGUGGAUAAUUGUGGACAAAUUAACAAAGUACGCUCAUUUUCUUCCUAUCCACACUACUUAGAUCAAGGAUAAGCUCUUACAGAUUUAUCUAAACGAGAUCGUGCGCCUACAUGGAAUGCCCGCCAUAAUAGUUUCGGCUCGGGAUCCGAAAUUUGUAUCACAUUUCUAGAGAAGCUGCCAUAAGGCUUUGGGGACUCGGUUGAAUUUCGGUAUGACAUUUCACCCUCAGACUGAUAGGAAGUCGGAGAGGACUAUUCCGAUCUUGAAGGACAUGCUUCCGGCCUAUGUUCUGGAUUAUCAAAGUGGAUGGCAUCGACAGCUGCAAAUGACGAAGUUCGCAUAUAACAACAGCUAAUAGGAAAUCAUUAAAAUGGCUCAGAUUGAAGCCUUAUACGGAAGAACACUAGUUCACUAGAGUGAAGUUGGAGAAAAGGUAGCUCUAGGCCCAGAUGUGCUACUGAAGACCAAGAAGAAAAUCAAGAUCAAGCGACAACAUCUAGUAACUGCUCAAAGCCAACAAAAGAAAUAUUUGAAUCGGCAACAAUGUGAUCUUGAAUUUCAAGAGAGCAAUCAUGUCUUCUUAAAGAUUUCGCCCUCAAAAGGGGUGAAAAGAUUUGGUAUUCGAGGAAUUACAUCCCCAAUACAUCAAACCCUUCGAGAUUUUGGAAUGAGUUGGAUCCAUAGCUUAUCCAGACGCAUUACCACCAAUCUCACAGGAAUUUGCCAUGUAUUCCAUAUAUCCAUGCUCCAUAAGUACAUACCCGAUCCUUCCCACGUGAUAGAUUUCACUUGGAGUUACAGGAGGACCUGACUUAUAAAGAGCAACCAAUUCGCAUUCUAGCUCAAGAAGAGAAAAAGCUGUGAAAUCGAGAAAUUCCAUAUAUAAAAGUUCUCUGGAGUAAUCAUGAAGAACGUGAAGCAACUUGGCAAUUAGAAGAUUUGAUGUGGGAACGCUACCCACACCUUUUUGAACAAGGUAUGACUUUUUAAAUUUUGAGGACGAAACUUUUUAUAGGGGGAAGAGUAUAAUAUACUGGGCUCAAUUUCAUUUAAGUACCUCUAAAAUUAGCUUGACAAGUUGACUGUGAGAUUCUAGGAGGAAUUAUACUAAAUUGGUUCGAGUUCGAGGCAUAUUAGACGUGAAAACGAAAUCUAAAAAUUUAAAGCACUAAAACUUUGAGUUUCAGAGUAUUUCUAGACACUCGAGAAAAGGUUUUCGACACCCAGAAUCUAUACAGACAGUCCAACUAACAUAGUGGAUUGGGUUUCGGGUUUUCGAGUUGUAAAUUGGGCACCCGAAAUCCCUUUCGAACGCUAAACUCAAUAGCACAAGCUACUGUUUGAGUUAAUUAUUCGAGCGCUCAGAAUAUCUUUUGGGCGUCCGAAACAGUUUGGAAGGUGAUAGGGACGACCAAAACCAUCAUAAAGGAGCCUGAAAAGCAUGUAGUGUACUGGACCUUGACAAUAGGCAGGAUUGCAGUAUGACUUGAUGAUCAACACCUCUAUGGAGUACUGGACCAAGCUGGAACUGUUUUAUUGCGAAAUGAUAGGGAAAAUAGAUUCUAGAAAUUAAAGUCAGGUGAAACUAAGUUUUUGAGCUUUUUCGGGCACCCGGAUAGUAUUUAGGGAGCCUAGAAGUGGUGAGCUGAGGCUACCGGAAGUUUCGGGUGGAUCAUAGGUGGAUCCAAAUGAGGAAAUCACUGCUCACGCGUGAUUUGGACACUCAAAAGUAACUAUAGCAACCCGGAGUUGGUGAGUGUGAUUUGAUAGAGACGGUGGGCACAUGACUCAAUAGAGUUGGCAUGAAUUCGGACGCAAGUGCGAGCGCUUGGAAACUUGCGAGUGCAAUUACGAAGGGUUCUGGUGGCCCAUUGUAGAAAGGAAGGGCCCAAAAGUUCGCAGCUAGGAGGUUUCGAAUGGCCGAAUGUUGGUUACAAGCGCACGAAAUUACCUUUUUUGACCGAGAGCCAUUAUUUGAUAAUUCUAAGGGGUUUUUUGCAAUUAUGUUGGCUUAUAUGUGUACCAGAAAAGACAUUCCUCUCUUCUCUUCCUCACACUAAGCCUCUCUUCCUCUUUUUUUCUUCUUCUUCCUCCCUUCCUAAGCAAGCCCGGAGCUCCUUCGCUAUUGGAGCUUGAAGUGAUCCGGGUGGGGAGCGUAGCUCAGAAGAGAUCUUGUAGAGCGAAGUGGAGAAGUGUUUGAGGUGUUCAUCUUUUCAUUUGCUACUUGAGGUGAGUAGAGGACACGAUUAAUUCUAGAAUUGCAUUUAAGCGAGAUUUUUAGUCAAUGUUGGAUUUAGCAGUGAACUUUAUUAUUGAUUUUAUGAUGAGUUUUGGAGGAUUUUUUGUUGGAUUUUGGUGCUGUGAGAAGGAAGGUGUUAAGCACGCCAACUACCCGCAUUCCUUAAGAGUAGCGUACCAGGUGGGUUUCAUGUCACCGAGAAAGGCGAACUAACCAUUAUGUCCAUUGCAUGAUUCAUAUGUUGUGAUAUAUGUUAGCAUUGUAAUUGGGACAAUAUGAUUAUUUGGACACCUACAUGGCCAUGUGAGUAAUAUUCUAGUACAUUGAUUAUGGUCGGCAAUGAUUUAUGUUUAUGCAUAGAUACCCACUACCAGAGAGUUUAUUGUUGUAUCCUAACUAUUGCAUAGUAUGUAUUGUGAGACAUGUAAAGGAUGCCAAGGGCAUAUAAUAUGUGAAUAUUGGGAAACUUGACCUUGUAAUUGCUAGUUACUAAAUGUGUUGAGACACCUGUGACAUCCUAGUAUAGGUGAGAUUGGCAUUAGUCUAGUAAGCCUGUAUUUUUAUGGAAAUGACAGGGCAAGGUAGAAUUAAAGAGGUACUUAUGAUAGUGGAAACUUGAACAAGUAAAAAGGAAGGUUUAUACGAUAUGUAGGUCGUGGAUUAUGGUUGUAACUAGCGGUGCCGAAUAAACUCAACUAUAUUUCAUACUCGCAUGGGGUCGCUCCACAGUGAGAGGGUCCUCCGAAGGUAUACCUAGGAGAAAGGUUUUAAGUCCCCGUCGACACGGGCCGUAUCCACCGUGUUGUACCGUGCGAACAAGACACCGGCACGAUACAGACCCCGUGCCGAUGGCACAGCUCAAAACCCUCUUUCUUUAAAUUAGUAAGUAAUUUCCUCAAUAAAGUUCAAAAGAUAUGAUAAAAAGACAUAAUAAAUAGUUAGAAUAUUUUGUUGCUAAAGAAGAUAAAUAUUUCAUGCUAUUAUGUGUCGGCACACAAGAAUUUUUUUUGACUUGCACGCAUCGGCACGGCUCGGCACGCACCGUGCCGGCUAGUUUUCGGCACGACCCCGUGCCACGGCACUUAAAUCCUUGCCUAGGAGCUGUGCCAUAGAUCAAGCUGCUGCAGCUAUGCGAUUGAUCGAGCUGCGGUAGCUGUGCGAUGGUUCGAGCUACCUAGUUGAGGCCCUUAGUGAGCAGAUGCGAUAAAUCGCUGAGUCACUAGGCAAGGCACAAGCUAGACUAGAUUAUUACGACGGUUGGUGUGAUGGGGUGAGAUUGGGCUACAUAGCUGUGCGAUUGAUCUAGCUGCCUGAGCUGUGCGAGAGUUGAGUUACCUAGUUAGAGAGUCUUAGUGUUAGUAGGUAGGUGUGAUGGAUCAUUGCGCCACUAGACGAGGUAGGUGAUAUGAAUUUUACUAAUACAGUGAGACAAUAGUCCACAUGGUAGUGGACCAUCAUAGGUGGGUAAUGGAUGAGGCGAUGCAGGUUGGACCUGAUUACUAAGUCGAUCAAUAUGAUUAGGUUUUAUAGCAUAGUUUUAUUUAGUUAUUCUAGUUGAUGCAUGAGAUGAUAGAUUUAUAGCUUUUAUUAGUAGUAUGAAGGCAUAAUAGUUAGUGAUUUGUUAUCAGUUCAGUUAUAUCCUGAUGAUUAUACAGUUCUUUACACUAUUAUUGCCUCUGGUAGACCUAGUGGUAUAGGUCGUCAUGAUUGUCGACUGUACCCACUGGGAAUUACUGUUCAAUAAUUCUCAUGCCCUUUUGUUGUUGUCUUUUUUUCUUUCAGAGCCCUCAAUUCCAUCUUCUCAUCGAGGUGAAGGGAUAGCGAGGUAGAUAGUGUCUCCUACUCAAGAUUGCAAGUGCUAGAGGAGGACCACCAAUAGCAGCUUGUACAUUUGUGAACUGGCAAAGCCAGUAUGGGUUGUAUUUAUAGUUUUUUUUGGAGUUGUAUGGAUGCUUGCUUUAUGUACACGUUUGUUAUACCUGUUUAGUUAUAUGUUUAGACUCUGAUGCUUAUUCCUUUAUAUCCUCUUGUUACAUGUUGUCUUGAGCAGGUUGUUUUUAGACUCUUCGUAGGUGCAAGGAACGCCCUCGUGCCUACGACAGAUCUGCUGGCGUUCUCGAGGGCUUCCGCUAUGGCCCAAGGCAUGAUAUGUCGAAUGCCCAAAAUAUGCUCCUGGCGCCCAAAAGUCCUUAAAAGGCUCGAAUCAUUUUGUAAUUUGUAUAUUGCAAAUUUUAUAUUUUGGAGGGAUUCUAAAUGAAAUUGUUAUCUCUAGAUAAAUAUUCCCUCACCCCAGCUGGCUUCCUUCUGCUGGUUCCGCUGAGAAAAUUCUCCAACUUCUCUCUCUCAGUCUUCCUUUUCUUCUUUUUCUUCAUAUCCUUUUUUUUUCUCUCCCUCAAGCCUACUGAGCCUGUGUUUACCUCAGAGCCCCCUGAAGCUAGGAGUUGAGCCUGUGCAGUAGCAAGAGGUCUCAUGGAAGGUACACAAAAGCUUCAACUAGGAUUUUUGCGAAGUAGAGGCAAAGAUUAAAUUAUUUAACAGAUAAGAUAAUUGGGUCUUGAUGGUUUUGUUAAGUAUACUGGAAAAAUGGGAGGUUUAGAUUUUGGGAACUUAUUAGGAUGGAUUUUCAUAAAAGUACUAUUGGUUGUAGGUAUAUGGUACUUGAGAGGGUUGAAGACUAUAAUAUUCCACAGUUAGCAAGAAAUUUCGGUGGGUGAUAGUAUUCUAAAAUUGGUGACCUCCCUCUACGUCUCAUGUGUUUAUACCUUAUGCACGAUUCUGUAUUAUUCAGUACUUCCGUAAAUUACUAGCAAAUUUUGGAACACUUGUAUCUGCAUAAAUUAAGAAUAGUGAUUGAAAAACUAUAAACUAAGAAUUGAGAUGACAUAAAGAGAACAUUAUGAGAUCUGAUUGAUCAUUACAUGUGACCAUAGCCUGGAAGAGCCAAAUUGAGCUCAGCUAUUCGCGUUACUCACGUGGGAUCGCGCCCCGGCAAGCGAGGCCUCCAAAGGUGUUGCCCAAUGGCCAGCAUGUACUCAAACCGUUUUUAGUUGGGCGCCUAGGCGGGUUUAUGCUUUUUUCACCAACUUGCGAAGCACGGCGCAGGCUUGACAGAAUUAAGAGCCAGUUGUCGUGAUAAAUUAGUUAAACCAAUCGGUAGCAUAAUUUUUGUAUUGUGGAGGCAUAGUAAGCUCAUCAUUUUCCUACCUAUUCUUUUUGUCAUGUUAUUAUUAGUGAUGCUGUUCAUUACUAUUUAUGCCUAGUGAGGACCUAGAGGUGUAGGCUGUCCAUUUUGGCAACUGAACCCACUGGGAACUAUUUUUAUAGUUCUCACACUCUCGUUGUGGUUUCUAUUUCAGACCCCACUUCAUCCAUCGAAGAGCGCAGCAAGGAGCUCGCGAUGUAGAUAGCAUUGUCGUCCCUGGGAGAGUAUAGAGACGACCCUAUGCUUAUAUUUUGUAUAUGAGAACAGAAUGUAAUGAAAUAGUUAAACUUGUGUAUACUAUUUAUAUUAUCUCAGAUACCAUGUCAUCUAUUGUCUUAUCCUGUUCUUCACUCUAUUUGUAUUAGAUGUGUACACUUUGUCUGUAUGGUGGAUAAUUCCGUACAUAUGGCGGAUCAGCUAGCGCUACCGAAGAGCUUCUGCUGUAAUCCCGAGGCAUGACAAUCACAACACAAAUUGAAAGGAAAAAAAAGAACAAAAUAGAAAAAUAUGGUUCGUCAUGUAUCUUGCAACGAAAGGAAGCCUCAUACCCACGGAAAUGAAAGGCAUUUUAGUUCCUCACUUCAUAAUACGAUAAUACAAGGCCAACAUAAGUAGCUCUAUUGGAACAUAAUUCGAUGAUUCAUCAAACAACUACAAUUGUGACAAGGACAGGGUCCUUGCAUAGAAUCAAGAAUGCGCGAUUUCAUUAAACAGUAAUCUAAAUGCAGUCUCACCAACGUAACGUAAUCACUACUCACCGCACAGAUCAUUGAUCUUCUUAGCCAUCUCCUUAAUUUCCUUCUCAACCUUCUUUAUGCUCGCAGAAUACGGUCCCAAACCCUGUCAUCGACCAAUUUCAGAUCGAAACAAAUAAGUUAAAUCUUCUCGAGCAACAAAAGAGAUAAAAAUAAAAGCAGCAAUUUUAGGAACAAAUAAACAAUACACAGCUUCCAGCAAAUACACCAAUCAUAUGCUAGACCAGUUAGAUCGAAACUCGAAACAAGCAUCAACUCCUAGACAAGAUUUAUUACAGAUAAAAUAUGCCCAAAACCCCACAAGCAAUCGUUAAAAAACACCCUAGAAAAGAGAAACCGAGGAACAUUUGAACCCUAACACAGAUUUUUUUUCUUUUUCUUUUUUUUGUGUGUGUCGGGGGGUCAAAGAAUCGAAGAGGAACUUCAAUUUCCAGCUUUAGAAUAUAAAAUAUCUGAAAAAUAAAUCCAAAUAAAUCGAGAAAACAUAACACUAAAUAGCAUAAAAACCCUGCAUGUAAGAAAAUCGCAGAGGAGAAGAGGGGACGGAGAAAGCUUGGGGGUGGGGGCGGAGGAGGCGUACGUAGGUCUUGAGGAGGGCGAUGUCGUCCGCAUCGAGAGGGCGAGGGUUCUUCUCGUCCUCGGGCCCCGGAGCCAUUUUUUGCCGCGGCGAUAUAAGGCCGGCGGCGAGACGAAGCAGGAGCUGAAUUCGCGAGGACGCACGAUCGGCUUGAAGAGCGGCAACAGGAUUUCCAGAUCGAGCCCAAAUAGUUUUUCGUCGUCCUUGUUCCUCAAGGUGCUCUCGUCACGGCUUAACUUCAAACAAAGCCGUGCCAAUCUGCGGACGGAUUGUAGACACUAGUGGAGACCCGCGAGAUUCUGCGAAUAUAAAAAUAUUUUAAUAAUAAAUUUUAAAAUUAUUUUAUCUUUUUUAUAUAAAUCUUAUAAAUCAAAUUAUUAAUUAAAUAAAAAUUAUAUAAAAAUAAUUUAAUACUUAUAUUUAUUUAAAUAAAAAGGAUUAAAAUUGGUAUAUGUGCAAUGCACGUAAAUUUAUAUAAUAGCUUAUUAGUAAUUAAAUUAUUUAGCAAUUAAAUUACUUUAUAAAGAUUUAUGUAAAAAAAAAAUUUGAGAUAAUCAGAUAAAAUCUAUUAAAAUAAUUUAAAUAAAUCAAUAGAUAAAAGAGGAAUAAAAUAGUAGAAGAACAUUAUUAUAAAAUAAUUAAUUAUCACACACAGUGUAUUUCUCAAAUCUUACUCCGAAAAUUUAUAUAUCUUGUUACUUUAUACAUUGACAAAUUACGUAAUUUAGAUUGUAUCUAUCAAAUUAGAUUUUAUUUCGUGAUUUCAUACAUAUAUUAUUAAUAAAAUUAAUUAAUUAUAUGACAGACUGAAUACUAUAUCUAUAGCACCAAUGAUUUGUGCUAUUUAUUUUCUGCCCUUUGAUUAAAAAGAUGUGUGAUUAGGAUGACCGUAGGCCCCUAGGAUUGAUGGGUGGUGGUUAGUUGAAUAGUAUAAUCAAACGGAUAAAAAUGAUAAAAAAGAUAAAUCUAACGACAGAAAACUUGAUAACAAAAUUAUUUCGUACCAUCGAUAGUAUCCCAGCCGGACUCUUAAUUAUAUUAUAUAUACAAUUAAUUAAUUAAUUUUAUAGGUUUACGGUCUUGAGGUUUAGGGAUUUAAAUUUUAAAUUUGAAGUUUAAAAUUUAAAUAAAUAUUAUAAAUGUUAAAUUUUUAAAAUUUAAAAUUUAGAAUUUGAAAUUUGGAAUUUAAAAUUUAAAAUUUGAAAUAUAAAAUUCGGAAUUUGAAACUUUGAAAUUUGAAAUUAUAAAAUUAAAAUUAAUAUAUAUAUAUAUAUAUAUUAUAUAUAUAUAUAUAUAUAUAUAUAUAUAUAAUACUAUAUAUAUAUAUAUAAAGCCCGAGAGAGAGAGAGAGAGAGAGAGAGAGAGAGUCCGGCUAUGGUGCUUGUAAAAGCACCAAGCACUUGGUGCUGUGAAUUUUUUACCGUUAGAUCUACGCCUUUAAUCAUUUUUACCGGUUUGAUUCAUACCUAAUUCAACACUAAGCACUAACCCUAGAGGGGGCCACAUCAUCCUAACCGCAUAUCCCUUAAUUCAAGAGCCGAAACUUACAAGCACCAAUGACUUGGUACUUUUAAAAGUAUAGGAGUUCAAUUAUAUAUAUAUAUAUAUAUAUAUAGACUUAGGCUGGAAUACUAUUAAUAUAUUAGGUUUUCAGCCCUUUGAUGAAAAAAUGAACGGUUAGGAUGAUGUCGGCCCCCUAGGGUUGAGUGAGUUAUUGGUUUAAUAGUAUAAUCUAACGGAUGAAAAUAGUCAAAAUGCUAAAUCUAACGGCGGAAAACUUGAUAGCACUAAACGCUUGGUACUAUCGAUAGUAUUCCAACCAGACUAUCUAUAAAAACCUAUGAAAACCCAUGCUCUUUUGUCCACGUGACGAUAUUAGCUUAAUGUUGUGCUUUUGUGGGACCUACCUAUCAUACUAAAUUACCUCCCUAAAUGCCGCUCGCCCCCUAGAUGCCUCUCCAACUCCUGAUGCGUCCUCUCUAGACAGAAAAUUGAACCAAAUUCAUUGUCGGUCCUUCUUCCCGUCGCGCCUUUUUGGUUAGCAACACUUUGUUCCUGCAGAUUAAUCCCACUCCGGUUGCAAAAAUGGUUAGGAUUCAUUCUCUAUACUCUCUUCGACUCCUCGGAUAUUCGUAUUUGUUGAAUCCGAAUGAUCAUUUUACAUUAAAUGCGAUUUAUUUUACCUAUAUAAUAUGCCUCUAUAAAAUUUUUAUUUGCAGCAAAAAAACUCAAUUUCUCUGCUAGUGCUAUUUUCUUCUCUGAUUUGGUUUCCACCUUUCAUUUUUAUUUUUAUUUUUGUUUGAAUUUCAAUUUGGCCACUUAUUAUUUUUUAAAAAAAUACUUAAUAAUUUUUACUUUGUCUCAAGAAAUUGACUAUCUGUGUACAGUUGAUCUGUGAUUGAUUGCCUCAGAUUUUGUAAGUUCUCUGAUUUAAUUUUUAUGUAUAUACUUUUUUUUUUGCCUUCCAAUUUAUUGCUGUGAAUAAUUUAGAAAUUUAUAUUUUACCCCGGUCCUCAUCGUAAUGCUAUUAUAUAUGACAUAAUCUAAUUUGGUUGCCAAUUUAAAAAUAUUUUUGCAAUAAUUAUUUAAAGAAUUAUUUUGUGCUAAUCAGAAUGCUUUUAUAUAUGAUUUUUUUGCAAAAAAAUUUGUAUAUGUAUUUAAUUUGUUUAGAAUAUCAAUUCUAAACAUUAACCUAUUGGUUAUAAAUUUAGGCAUUACAUAGUCAAAGCAUGAUAAAAUAAAUUGUCCAUUGAAAAAAAAAAAAAAAAAACAAGUAUAAGACCAUUAAAAACAAAGAGAGAACAUCAAGCUGUAAAGAGAAAAAAAAAAUAAAAAAUUCCUACCAACAAUUCUUCAAUGUCGUUGUUAUAUUUAUAUCUAUAUAUAUAUAUAUAGUAGAGCUCCUGUGCCUUUUAAAAGACAGGAGCUCUUGUGCUUGCAUUUUGCACCGUUGAUCGCUUCGCCUCGAGAUUCGGCACACAGUUAAAGGGUGAACUAGACGGAACGGCAAAUAGCGUCGUUCCUCUUCUCUCUUCUCUACACGUGAACCCACUCUCUCUCUUUCCUCUAGCAACCCACCCUCUCUCUCUCUCUCUCUUUCUCUCUUCUCUUUCUUUCUCUCUGUUUUCCCUACCAGAUCUAUAGAUCUUUUUUUUUUUUCUUUUUCUUACCUCCAUCCUCUUCUUCUUUCCCUUUCAUCCCGGACGCCGCUCCAGCCACCGACGCCUUGUCGGGCCGCGGCGCUACAGGAUCGCUCCUCUCUCUUUUUCUCCCUCUCUGGUUCCCAAACCAGAACCAUUUUUCCUUUUUUUUUUUCAUUUUCUCCCUCCAUCUCUCUUCCUCUUUUCCCUUCUCUACGGUGGUGGUCCACGCCGACACCUUCCGGGCUGCAGCGCUACUCGAUCCCGGACGCGCCGACGCCUUCCGCGCCGACGCCUUCUAGGCCUUCCAGGCAGCGCGCUAUACGAUCGCUCCCGGCCGCGGUGUGCUCCCUCGGCCCUGUGAGGAUCGAUCCCAGGCAACGAAGGCGUAUAUUAUCCUCCAACUGCGCAACCAAGGUAUUCAUAUUUAAGUGAAAUGGUCUUCCUUUGUGUGGAAGGUCACUACCAUUGUCACAUUGCUAUUAAUUAGAUUAAGAGGAACUCACCAUUAAAAGAGGCUAUCAACAACUUGUCUCUCUCUCUCUCUCUCUCUCUAUAUAUAUAUAUAGAGUCCAGCUAUGGUGCUUGUAAAAGUACCAAGCACUUGGUGCUUGUAAGUUUUUUACCUUUAGAUCUAUUCCUCGGAUCAUUUUCAACCAUUAGAUUAUACUAUUCAACCAACCACCCACUAAACCCUAGACGGCCUAAUCAUUCUAACCACACAUCUCUUAAUCCAAUGGCUAAAAAUCUACAAGCACCAAUAACUUGGUACUUUUAAAAGCAUAGGAGCUCAAUUCUAUAUAUAUAUAGAGAGAGAGAGAAACUAGGCUACUAUGCUAUUAAUAGCACCAAGUCAUUGGUGCUACCGUUUUUGGCCAUUGGAUUAAGAGAUGUGCGGUUGGGAUGCUAUAGGCCCCCUAGGGUUGAGUGGGUGGUUGGUUGAAUAGUAUGAUCUAACGGGUAAAAAUGAUCAAAAUAGUAGAUCUAACGGCGGAAAACUUGGUAGCACCAAGUGCUUCGUGCUAUUAAUAGCAUAGAAGCCGGACUAUAUAUAUAUAUAUAUAUAUGUAGAGAGAGAGAGAGAGUGAGGCUACUAUGCUUCUGGAAGCAUGGAGCCUUCCGUGCUUCUAGGUCGUUUUUGAUGUUGCGACUUUCAAAUCGUCGAUCGGCUCCAUUAAACUUAAUCUAGAGUAUUUGAAGAACCUAGAAAAUAAAUUUUGCAAAUUUUCGAUAUCAUUUGCCUAGUAAACUAAGGGGCUCAAAAUCAACGGCUGAAAAUAAAAAUCUUACAAAAUGUGAUAAUAUGACAUUAAAAUUUUAGAUCAAAGAUAUUUAUCUUGUUUUAUAUAGUAUAAAGAAUUUUCUAUCAAAAUUUCACGUGAUUUGGAUAUUUCUAUACCGUUAAACUUGCAAACGGCUCACUACGGCCAUUAAAAUUAUUGAUUUUGAGCCCAUUCGAUCACUAGGCAAAUGAUAUCGAAAAAUCAUAAAAUUUAUUUUCUAAGUACUUCAAAUACUUUAGAUCAAGUUUAACAGAGCUGAUCGAUGAUUCAAAAACCGCAACAUCGAAAACGACCUGGAAGCACGGAAGGCUCCGUGCUUCCAGAAGCAUAGUAGCCUCACUCAUAUAUAUAUAUAUAUAUAUAUAUAUAUAUAUAGGUGCAAAGUACUCAUACUAGUAUAUGGUAUUCUCAUGAUGUGUUGGAAUCAUGUAGAUGAUUGACAUGCAAUUACUUGCUCAUGAAUAAUGGACAUAUGCUAAGUAUAGUGGAAACCCAAUGUCAUAAAGUGGCACUGAACUUGGAGUAUGUAUGGACUUAGUAAGCUACAAUGUCAUAAAGGGACAUUGAGCUUAGAAUAUGUUUGGUAUUUGGUAAACUAUAAUGUCAUAAAGUGGCAUUAGAUUAGUAAAUGAUGGAACCGUUACAUUGUAACAUAGAGCUAGACCUUUGGGGUUGCUAGUAUUAUACCAUAUUGAGACAUGAUGAUCGAGUACUUGAGAUGAUGAUUACGCUUGCUUGCCAUUUGUGCUCAUUCGCACAUGCUUGUGAGGGUCGCUCCCCACAAGCCGGCACUCCGGAGUUGGCCUACGCGAUAUAUGCUCGCCCGUGCGGUAUUGGGUUCCAUACUGGGUCACCGAGGGAUAGUCACAUUCCUACGGAGGAUGCUGGGCUCCCCGGAGCCAUUAGGCGCCACAAGCGGACUACACUGGUGUAGGUCUUCGAUUGGAAUUGGAAAAUGACAAAGAAACAACUAAGUGACAUUCACUACUUGAUAGUAAGUAUUGGUUGGGCAUAUUAUUACACUAGUUGGACUUAGUGAUAUAUUGGUGAACUAUGCUUGGUGCAUAUUUACAUUUAUGAUGAUCAUGUUUAGAACAUACUAGUGUACUCCUUAGAUAUACUCGAUCAUGAUAGAUUAGCAACUUUUCAUGUUCAUAUCAUGUUAAACUUGUGACAUCCUAACUUAGCCAAAUUAAUUGUUGUAUUUAUAUACAUGUUGUUUAUUAUAGUUCUUAUACCUCUUUAGCCUAGUGGAGUAUUUUCGCUGAGGUCAGCGGUUUACCCACUGGGAACUAUUGUUUAAUAGUUCUCACGCCCUCUGUUUGUUGUUUUAUUUCAGAGCCUUCCACGCUGGGAGAGGCUCAGGACCGCAGCAAGGGUGUCGCUUCGGGCUAGAUAGCGAAGGUUCCGCUUUAGGUGGCUUACCUUUCUUUUGUUUUAUUUUGGAGAGGAUGAGUGUGUUGUACCUAUGUGUAGAGGCCACCAUUUUUGGAUAUUUAGCACUUGUACUUGGAUCAUUUGUUGUACUACUUUAUGGUUUAUGCUAGUUGUUUAGUUUUUUUUUUUUAUCUAUCCACUUGCUUCUAGAAUUUAGUUAAAAUCAUAUUCUGAUAUCUCUAGAUGUUGUUCAUUUUUGGAUAUUCUGAUAUCUCUAGAAUUUAGUUAAAAUUUUUUAAAAAUUGCAGGAUUUUUUAUUUCACCUAAAGCGACACUGAAUAUAAAUUUCACAAAAUUUUAUAAUUGUAAUCCACACGGACCCGUAGGGGGUAUUUGGAUUGACGAAUCUCUAAAUGCAAUGUAACUCAAGUGUAGUGGUAUUGGAGUUUUCCUGAAGUGUAGUUAUUUUUUCAUUGUUUAUUUUGACAUAACUCAUACAUCCUGAAAAUUAAAUUUAGGCACUUGUUUUGUUUGUUUUGGUAUAACUUGAUACUAAUAUAACUAGUUUUUUGAGUUUUAUUAUUUGUUUUGAUGUAAGUAAAUAAAUCUAGUUAUCUCGUAAAUAUAAUGGUAAACUUAUCCCCACAAAAUCCAACAUAUUAAAUUAUUAAAUUCUCCAUUAUUAUUUAAAGGUAAUUCUAACCCAAUUGUAAAGAGGUAAUUCUAACCCAUUGUAAAGUAGAGUUUAGGUUUUAAUAUUUAAUUAAUUUUUUAGAAAAAGUUGAGUGUGGUGAAAUUCGAGUUCGGCACUCUAGAGGUGGAAGUCAAGAAUAGAUGAAGUGGAGGUCUAACGUAACUUAAGUUACAUUAUUUUUUUGACUUAUACCAAAGCAAACGCCGGAAAUAAUGGAACUUUUCCAUCCUUCCGCUUACUCC